ensembl:lncRNA
AUACAAUAAGAUAAAAUAAAUAAAUGAAUAAAUAAGAUAAAACAUGUUAAAACAAACUGAGUUAACCCCUUAAAGAGGGCAAAAGGCUUCAGCAAAUAAAAAUGUGUUAAGAAGAGUUUUAAACUGAAUGAAGUGUCUCAGCUUGGUGCUUAUUCCAUGCCCCGGUUUGACGAGCCCCUGGAUUUCCAAACUGGAAAUAACCAGGACUACUGGCAGAUUCUCUUUUCUCCAGACUCUCCAGAGUCUUAUUGACUAAUUAGGCAGUUCUUGGGAUUGGCUCGUUGCUAUUUUUGGUUCAUGACCGGUUUUGCGGACCUGCCCAGCCCCCUGACUGAUUUCACCCAAAAAAGUGCCUAGACCUGGUCCAGUGGAUGGCGUUUGUACAGGAGUAUGUUUACUUUUUAAACAAAAUGCAACAAUGAGUUCUGAGCAAAUCACAGUUUACAACUACAAACCUCUGGGGAGAGCUCCUAGACCACAUACACUGGUGAGUGUGAUCUGUGGCAACCUGAGACCUUCUGGAAUGGAGCAAUGCAAGUGUGACUCUGCCCAAUGUGUUCUACUAUGCAUGGCUAAAAAUAAAAUAGUACUGGCCAUAACACAGAGGCUCAUGAGAUUAAUUACGUCACUUUGGGGAGUGUGUUUUGGGGGAAGGUGGUGUUCGACUACACACAUAUGCUGCUCGACAGUAGCAACCACACGGCCUUCUUUCUGCAUACACACCAACAAUAAUUCUGUCCCUUUGUCAUGUAUGGCUAUCUGAGCUCUCAGACUGAAGACUGCUCUCAUAUUCAUGGACAGAGUCACUCACACAUACACAGACUGUCCAGGCCCUAAAAAUAGCUGGUGUUAGCUGUCUGAUGAUAUGUAUGGAGAUAAAUACCUGCAAAUGAGUCUCAUGUGUGUUACCAAAUAUGUGCACAGACACACGCAGUACGUCCCAAAGACAUAAACUCUCUUAUCCUCCAUAAAUAGGUCACAAACUGGCACCUCAUUUCUCUUCACUCCUCAGUGUCCUUCUCUGCUGUCCCAGAUAGAGCAGCCACAAUCACUUUCUUCCAUCCAGCAAAUAGUCCAACUCACCUCGACCAGACAGAGAGGACAUCUAUGCUGCUGCACAAACAUCUCUCACAUCUCUAUGUAGCUAAUAUUAAAGACAAACAAAAGCGAGAAAAAUGAUUUGCAAAAAUGUAAUUAUCCUUUCUCUUUCUCACAGAAGCAUUCAACUUGACAACUAUGUUCAUCUAGCCACUCUAUGUUUCAUUUUAUUUGUGUAUUUUUCACUGCACUUCAUGGCAUUUACUAUUUCAUACUUUAUUUAUGUUUUUCAGUUUGCAGAGGACAUGGAGCUCUUUUUAAAAGCAUGUGCUGACGAGCAGGGACUACGGGUCAUGUGACGUUUGACACUUAAUGGACAGAUGAAGGCACUGGCUGCUUGUUUGUGUUUUUAUGUGUUGUUGGGUUGUUUUUUUUCAGUGUACAGAAUUCCAGUUAAACUUGUUAUAAAAUGUUGUUUACUUGUUUCCAUGUCCAUACUUAUAGUAAAAAAAUUAAGUGUAAAUGUAACAGAAUUGUUUAUACUUGUAACUUCAAAAUAAAAAGCUUACAGUUGCUAUUAACAUUAAUGUAUUACCCUGUAAUCCAUAAUAUUUUUAUACAUUUUACGCAUUAACCCUCUGGGCUCUAUCCUGGCCUUAUGUGGCCACUUCACUUCCUUUUUCUUUCUUUUUUUGACCAUUUUUGCUGUGUUAAUGCAAAUGGAAUGAAAGGGUCUAGAUUUUUUUCAGCUUUUGGCCACUUAAAACCCAUUAUUAUGACAUUUUUAAAUUCCUUGUUGUUGACAGUGCUAAAUCAUGCAAUUUAGGUAAAAUUGCUUUUAUUCUAAACUCAGCACAUAAAAAUUAUGGUUGUUGUUGUUGUUGUUUUGUUUUGUUUUUUUGUUUUUUUAACCAAAUUACAUCAUUUACCCAUUUUUGGCUGAACAACAAAUUUCAUGUAAUAUUUUUAGUUUCAAACAGGGGUGUUUGAUGGCUUACUACACCGCAGUGGACCAAAAGAAUGACAUAGGUUUGAUCUUAAGGGUCCAAUUGUCAUGGUCCCCGUGCCUGCUCGGCUGGCCCUGUGUGGCUACAUGUUAUGUUUUGUCUUUUCUCUCUCCUCUCUCUCUGCUCGCUGCCUGGGCGGAGCUCAUUGUGAGCUCCCGGCCUCCACCACCUGUAGGCAAUCACCUGUGGCUCCUCACCUUGUUUGCUCCCGCUACUUAAGGCAGUGACUGAGAGCACCUCGCCGCUGGACUAUUGAAUAACGCUCAUUUCUCGUGUUUGGUUUGGAGACUCUGGACGCUUUUCCCGACCCCGCUCUGCACCCCUGGGAACCCUGGCCCCCUUCUCCUUCACCUGUAUAUAGUGCACCUGGAGUGUGUAAAUAAACCUGUUUUUUCUGAGAUUUCAGUCUGCACCGAGUCCUCCCUGCUCCUCCGUGACACCAAUAGUUUGUGCAUGGCAUUGCAGCACAAAUAUGUGUUUGCAAGAUAGACUGGGGGAAAAAAUGACGCAUUAAAUAUUACACAGGCUGCAUUGAAUUUCUGUUGAGUUUGAGUUUCCCAGUCAAACUUAGCUUUGAAGCACCUGCUAAAAACCGUUUUACUCUUGUAGAGUUCACAACAAGACACCAUAGCCAAAAUAUUAACUCUCAAAAACAAAUUCAAAGCUGCAGCACAUACAGCAACAAACACUGUUAGUAAAUGUGUCCUGGAGUUUAUGCAGGUGCAGAAAGUGCUGCUGGUGUAAAUAAGCCUA